GCCUGGGUGGCUCAGUCGGUUGAGCGUCCGACUUCGGCUCAGGUCAUGAUCUCGCGGUCCGUGAGUUCAAGCCCCGCAUCAGGCU
rnacentral:tRNA from 1 species